rnacentral:rRNA from 1 species
GUCCUUUUGUAUUAUAUAAAAGGUUUAACCUGCCCACUGAAUAAUUUAAAUGGCCGCAGUAUUUUAACUGUGCAAAGGUAGCAUAAUCAUUAGUUUUUUAAUUAAAAGCUUGUAUGAAAGGUUGGACGAGGUAAAAACUGUCUUUAUUUAAUUAAUUAUAAAAUUUAAUUUUUAAGUUAAAAAGCUUAAAUUUUUUUAAAAGACGAGAAGACCCUAUAGAUCUUUAUAUUUAUUAUUUUAUUUUUAAUUAAGAUUUAUUUAAGUUUUAUUAUAUUAAAUAUUUUAUUGGGGUAAUAAGAAGAUUAAAGAAAUUCUUUUAUAUAUUAUUCAUUGAUUAGUGUUUAAAUGAUCCAGUUUUAUUGAUUAUAAGAAUAAGUUACCUUAGGGAUAACAGCGUAAUUUUUUUAGAGAGUUCAUAUCGAUAAAAAAGUUUGCGACCUCGAUGUUGGAUUAAAGAUUAAUUUAGGUGUAGAUGUUUAAAUUUUUGGUCUGUUCGACCAUUAAAUCUUUACAUGAUCUGAGUUCAGACCGGUGUAAGCCAGGUCGGUUUCUAUCUUUAAUAAUAUAAUAUAUUUUAGUACGAAAGGACCAAAUAUAUAAUAUAUUAAUAUUUUAUAUUUUUGAAUAUUAUUAAUUACUUUGGCAGAUUAGUGUAAUGAAUUUAGAAUUCAUAUAUGUAAGUAUUUACAAGUAAUACUUGUUUUUUAUAGAUUUAUUAUUUUCUUUUAUUUGUAUAUUAUUAUU